UAUUUGUGUUUUUGGCUGAUUAUAGGGUUGGUAACUUGGCUGGACAACUUGUUCAAGCUCUCGAUGAGAAGCAGCCCAAGCUCCUCAUCUCUCACAGGGACAUUCUUUGUGAGCAGAUCGCUGGACUCUGCCAUGACCUGGCAAAAGCCUUUUACUGUAAAACAAGAGCCCCGAUGAUGCCAUUCUGUAGACUAGCUCGUGUUUUAUGGGGACACAGGACCUGAAAAGUAAACAGUAAAAGGUUCUCCUCUGAGCUGCAGCCACUGCCCUGCCUCCCAUGGGAGAAAACCCUGCGCUGUGACUGAGCGCUGAGGUCCAGCAGAUCAAAGGAAUCAGAAGAGA